rnacentral:rRNA from 1 species
AACGAACGCUGGCGGCAUGCCUAACACAUGCAAGUCGAACGAGACCUUCGGGUCUAGUGGCGCACGGGUGCGUAACGCGUGGGAAUCUGCCCUUGGGUUCGGAAUAACUCGCCGAAAAGCGUGCUAAUACCGGAUGAUGUCGUAAGACCAAAGAUUUAUCGCCCAAGGAUGAGCCCGCGUAAGAUUAGGUAGUUGGUGAGGUAAAGGCUCACCAAGCCGACGAUCUUUAGCUGGUCUGAGAGGAUGAUCAGCCACACUGGGACUGAGACACGGCCCAGACUCCUACGGGAGGCAGCAGUGGGGAAUAUUGGACAAUGGGCGAAAGCCUGAUCCAGCAAUGCCGCGUGAGUGAUGAAGGCCUUAGGGUUGUAAAGCUCUUUUACCCGGGAUGAUAAUGACAGUACCGGGAGAAUAAGCCCCGGCUAACUCCGUGCCAGCCGCCGCAGUAAAAC